rnacentral:rRNA from 1 species
UACGUAGGUGGCAAGCGUUGUUCGGAAUUAUUGGGCGUAAAGGGCGCGUAGGCGGUUUGUUAAGUCGGCUGUGAAAGCCCGGGGCUCAACCCCGGAGGGUCAGCCGAUACUGGCAGACUAGAGUACGGAAGAGGUAGCUGGAAUUCCCGGUGUAGAGGUGAAAUUCGUAGAUAUCGGGAGGAACACCGGUGGCGAAGGCGGGUCUCUGGGCAACAACUGACGCUGAGGAGCGAAAGCGUGGGGAGCGAACAGG